rnacentral:hammerhead_ribozyme from 1 species
GGACUACUGAGGAGUCCGACAACAGGACGAAACGAUCGUCCAGUGU